rnacentral:rRNA from 1 species
CAGCCGCCACGGUAAUACGGAGGGUGCAAGCGUUAAUCGGAAUUACUGGGCGUAAAGCGUGCGUAGGCGGUUCGUUAAGUCUGUUGUGAAAGCCCCGGGCUCAACCUGGGAAUGGCAAUGGAUACUGGCGAGCUAGAGUGUGUCAGAGGAUGGUGGAAUUCCCGGUGUAGCGGUGAAAUGCGUAGAGAUCGGGAGGAACAUCAGUGGCGAAGGCGGCCAUCUGGGACAACACUGACGCUGAGGCACGAAAGCGUGGGGAGCAAACAGGAUUAGAUACCCGGGUAGUCCCUGUCUCUUAUAA